rnacentral:rRNA from 1 species
AGUGAACGCUGGCGGUAGGCCUAACACAUGCAAGUCGAACGGCAGCACAGGAGAGCUUGUUCUCUAGGUGGCGAGUGGCGGACGGGUGAGGAAUACAUCGGAAUCUGCCCAGUCGUGGGGGAUAACGUAGGGAAACUUACGCUAAUACCGCAUACGACCUUCGGGUGAAAGAGGGGGAUCGCAAGACCUCUCGCGAUUGGAUGAGCCGAUGUCGGAUUAGCUAGUUAGCGGGGUAAUGGCCCACCAAGGCGACGAUCCGUAGCUGGUCUGAGAGGAUGAUCAGCCACACUGGAACUGAGACACGGUCCAGACUCCUACGGGAGGCAGCAGUGGGGAAUAUUGGACAAUGGGCGCAAGCCUGAUCCAGCCAUACCGCGUGGGUGAAGAAGGCCUUCGGGUUGUAAAGCCCUUUUGUUGGGAAAGAAAUCUUUCAGGCUAAUACCCUGGGAGGAUGACGGUACCCAAAGAAUAAGCACCGGCUAACUUCGUG